rnacentral:rRNA from 1 species
GACAGAGGAUGCAAGCGUUAUCCGGAAUGAUUGGGCGUAAAGCGUCUGUAGGUGGCUUUUUAAGUCUGCCGUCAAAUCCCAGGGCUUAACCCUGGACAGGCGGUGGAAACUACCAAGCUGGAGUACGGUAGGGGCAGAGGGAAUUUCCGGUGGAGCGGUGAAAUGCGUAGAGAUCGGAAAGAACACCAACGGCGAAAGCGUUCUGCUAGACCUGUACUGACACUGAGGGACGAAAGCUAGGGGAGCGAAUGGG